AUGAAGAGUAGCCCCCGCUCGCCUCAACUAGAGAAAGCUCGCACGCAGCAACAAAGACCCAACGCAGCCAAAAAUAAAUGAAUAAAUUUUUUAAAAAUUGUUUAAAACAAAAUAGUAGAGCAAGUCUCCAGCUGUGCCAGAAGAGCUAAAAUAAAUGUGCCAACAGGGGAGUCCCAGAGUAAAGUCAAUUAUCAUCCUGGUGAUUCCGCUGAUUCCACAUGCACGACUCGGAGGUCUGACAGAACUAGACAUGUGUUGGGUCUUGGUGUCAUGCUAAACGGUAGUGCUUCCAGACACACUUGUCAUAUCGCCGAGAGAAUCCUAUUCCAGUCGGAGAUCUUCACAUCUGUUGAACUUGUCUAAUUAUAAAGAAACAUCAUGGUAACUCAAACCACCAAAAUAAAACGCUUUGACAAUGACGAAGCAACAACGGGAUGUUGGAUUUAUAGAGAGAUUUUUAUUUCCAGCUCAUCGAGACAUUUUACAAAGGAAAGGUGAUAAUGGCACUAUCGAAGGAUUGUGGGCCUGGGUGUGAGCACGCGGAGCAAGUGGUAUGCAGGAUGGAGGAGAGGCAAGGAAGCCAGUUAGGAGGUGAGUGCAGUCACGCUUCAUGGAGUCUACUCCCACUCCCUGGCUGCCUCAUUAUCAGUUCCCUUCUCCACCCAUGGCAUCCAGGCCUUUCCUCCACCUCUUGGCUGAAACUAUGUUUCCUAUGUCAUGAAUGAACUUCUCCUGGCCAAAGCCCAAAAACUACUUUCCCAGUUUUAGCUUAUCAGAUCUCCCUACCCCACUUGCAUGGUUAGCCACUAACUCUAGCUGAAGACGUUUCUCCGAGCACAGCCUCUUGCUGCUUUAUCUCCUACUUCUCCCGGAGGCUGCUGCUCUGGUUCAGAUUUUUCAUGACUUGCCCGUCAACAAGGCCUGGUGUUUGUAAGUCACAUCUAAAACUCUCCCUGGGAAAUGUCUUGCUCGUAUUUGCAACUUCUGCAGCUAAAAUCCCUCCUCUGUAGAUCAUCUAUUAAUAAAGAGAAUCUGAAAAUGA